rnacentral:lncRNA from 1 species
AUGCAGAUGGGGUGGUUUCUCAGCAUCGAUGCAAUUUGGGAGAGAAUAAUCAAGAAUCGUGCUGAAAGGACAGUAAUUCACACAGAACAGAAUCCGCAAAGAAAUAAAGACCUACUGAGAUUACAACCACAAAUAUUUUCCCAGGCAUGGGAACCAUCUUGUCGGGGCCUAUUAGGCCUAGGAGCAAUGAUCCAGAGGCCUGCCAUUUCCUGGUGACUAUGGACAAGCAGGAAGAGUCCCUCUGAAGCUACUCCAGCUCUGGUAGAAAACCAGAAAAUAUGCUGUGAAGUUAGGAGGAAGGGAGGACCAGGCCUGACACAACGAUCAUCUGUACCAUGCAGAGAAGAGAGGAAGACUUCUGUUUUGUUUUGUUUAUGUGCCACAGAGAAGCCACUGAUUUGAGUUUCAAAUUAUGGCAUAAUGGUUCAUUUACGCAAACCAUAAAUGAGCUUAUGUAAUGUUCUUAUGAAUAACAUACACACCAAUCUUGGCAGGCAUUUCUCCCUUGUUAAUUCUUAUAUUUUGUUUGUAUUUAAUACACCAUUAAGAUCUAAAGUCCUAAAAU